AUGGCCGCCGCCGGAUCGGCCGUCUUCCCCGCGCAGCGGCUCCAGGUAAGCAGCCGCCGGAGCGCGGCGUGCUUCUCGAGGCAGCAGAGCUUCCCGUCCAUCUCGAUCCGGUCGGCUCCCACCAAGAAGCGCUUCCUCCACCUGGCUUGCUCGGCCAAGCAGGACACCAUCGACAAGGUCUGCGGGAUCGUCAAGAAGCAGCUGGCCGUCGCCGAGGGCACCGUCGUCAGCGGAGAGACCAAGUUCGCCGACCUCGGGGCCGAUUCGCUCGACACGGUUGAGAUCGUGAUGGGUCUGGAGGAGGCAUUCAGCAUCACGGUGGACGAAUCGAGCGCCCAGGAGAUCAGGACCGUGGAGGACGCCGCGUCUCUCAUCGACAAGCUCGUGACAGACAAGGAUUCUUAG
rnacentral:rRNA from 1 species